rnacentral:rRNA from 1 species
GACGAACGCUGGCGGCGUGCUUAACACAUGCAAGUCGAACGGAAAGGCCCUGCUUUUGUGGGGUGCUCGAGUGGCGAACGGGUGAGUAACACGUGAGUAACCUGCCCUUGACUUUGGGAUAACUUCAGGAAACUGGGGCUAAUACCGGAUAGGAGCUCCUGCUGCAUGGUGGGGGUUGGAAAGUUUCGGCGGUUGGGGAUGGACUCGCGGCUUAUCAGCUUGUUGGUGGGGUAGUGGCUUACCAAGGCUUUGACGGGUAGCCGGCCUGAGAGGGUGACCGGCCACAUUGGGACUGAGAUACGGACCAGACUCCUACGGGAGGCAGCAGUGGGGAAUAUUGCACAAUGGGCGGAAGCCUGAUGAAGAAACGCCGCGUGCGGGAUGACGGCCUUCGGGUUGUAAACCGCUUUCGCCUGUGACGAAGCGUGAGUGACGGUAAUGGGUAAAGAAGCACCGGCUAACUACGUG